AUUGAACGCUGGCGGCAGGCCUAACACAUGCAAGUCGAGCGGAGCGGCGGACGGGUGAGUAAUGCCUAGGAAUCUGCCUGGUCGUGGGGGAUAACGUCCGGAAACGGGCGCUAAUACCGCAUACUAUCUGCUGAGCCUAGGUCGGAUUCGCUAGUUGGGGGGGUAAAGGCCUACCAAGGCGACGAUCCGUAACUGGUCUGAGAGGCUGAUCAGCAAAAUGGGAACGGAGACACGUGCCAGACUCCUACGGGAGGCAGCAGUGGGAAAUAUUGGACAAUGGGCGAAAGCCGGAUCCAGCCAUGCCGCGUGUGGGAAGAGGGUCUUCGGAUUGUAAAGCACUUUAAGUUGGGAGGCGUUACCAACAGAAUAAGCACCGGCUAACUACGUGCCAGCAGCCGCGGUAAUAC
rnacentral:rRNA from 1 species